AUUGAGCGCUGGCGGAAUGCUUUACACAUGCAAGUCGAACGGCAGCACGGGGGCAGCCCUGGUGGCGAGUGGCGAACGGGUGAGUAAUACAUCGGAACGUGCCCGGUCGUGGGGGAUAACGUAGCGAAAGUUACGCUAAUACCGCAUACGAUCUGAGGAUGAAAGCGGGGGACCUUCGGGCCUCGCGCGAUCGGAGCGGCCGAUGUCAGAUUAGGUAGUUGGUGGGGUAAAGGCCUACCAAGCCGACGAUCUGUAGCUGGUCUGAGAGGACGACCAGCCACACUGGGACUGAGACACGGCCCAGACUCCUACGGGAGGCAGCAGUGGGGAAUUUUGGACAAUGGGCGCAAGCCUGAUCCAGCCAUUCCGCGUGCAGGACGAAGGCCUUCGGGUUGUAAACUGCUUUUGUACGGAACGAAAAGGCUCUGGCUAAUACCUGGGGCUCAUGACGGUACCGUAAGAAUAAGCACCGGCUAACUACGUG
rnacentral:rRNA from 1 species